rnacentral:rRNA from 1 species
GUGGGGAAUCUUAGACAAUGGGGGAAACCCUGAUCUAGCCAUGCCGCGUGAGCGAUGAAGGCCUUAGGGUUGUAAAGCUCUUUCAGCUGGGAAGAUAAUGACGGUACCAGCAGAAGAAGCCCCGGCUAACUCCGUGCCAGCAGCCGCGGUAAUACGGAGGGGGCUAGCGUUGUUCGGAAUUACUGGGCGUAAAGCGCGCGUAGGCGGACCAGAAAGUUGGAGGUGAAAGCCCAGGGCUCAACCUUGGAACUGCCUUCAAAACUCCUGGUCUGGAGUUCGAGAGAGGUGAGUGGAAUUCCGAGUGUAGAGGUGAAAUUCGGAGAUAUUCGGAGGAACACCAGUGGCGAAGGCGGCUCACUGGCUCGAUACUGACGCUGAGGUGCGAAAGCGUGGGGAUCAAACAGGAUUAGAUACCCGAGUAGUCC